GUUAUGUCGGCAGAUCAUCGAACAGUGGGCCGCGAUGUUGGAUUUUUUUUACUGAUCGUCCCCGUAUGCAAGGGGUGGCUUGCGACUUACUGCCGGAGGUACGACGGGAGCUGUGACACGCUGACAGAGCGCCUUAACUGCCUGGGCCCCAGCAGCAGGCCGCCGCCGGAGUGACGGCUUCUAUGGCGAAGUAAGGUGGCGGCAGCGUGAGCCCGAGGCGCGAAAUCGCAGCGCAAUCAGGAGUACAGGUGGAGGGCCGUUUGAUUUGGCGACGCACGUUCGGUAGACAACGCCCGCAUCGCUUCGGCGGCCCUGCGUUCCCAAGGCCCGCGGCGUCCAGCAGCGCUGCCGAUAGUAUAGAGACAAGGAGCCGCACAGCAUUGCAAGUGCCCAUUCCAGUUCCCUGAUGGAUCUGCGGAGUCGGAUAUCUGGCACUGCGGAGAACCGAGCUGAUUGCAGUACCAGCACUCUGAAGAAGUUUCGAGGCAAGGCAAGACUGACUUCACGUGUGGAGUGGAAUCAUGUUGAUAUUCGGUGCAACGUUGGUGUGCUCACUGUGUUCAGUCAAAAAACAUUUACUGAUACAUUGAUUUAUAGUCAGCUGCCUGCUCCUAAAAUAUGGAAAUCUUGUGAUUCUCUUGGGCAGAAGAGAUCUUGCCAUAAUCACUGUCACGGCCAGAAGUGACGCUGGCCAUGGCACAGAGUUUGCACACAUCUAUGUCUUAUAUGUAUAUAAUGUAAGGUACCCAUAAAAGAGGAUGGCGGAUGUAAAUGGUGUGUGCUCGGCUUGCAAUGGAGGCAAUUGAUUCACGAAUAACUUCUACGUUUUCCUGCCUUUGUGUGAUCGGGGCCAGGGCUUUAA